AUGAAGUCGGAAUCGCUAGUAAUGGCAGGUCAGCAUACUGCCGUGAAUACGUUCCCGGGCCCUUGUACACACCGCCCGUCACACCAUGAGAGUUGGGAAUACCCGAAGCCUGUGAGCUAACUUUUAGAGGCAGCAGUCGAAGGUAGAAUCAAUGAUUGGGGUGAAGUCGUAACAAGGUAGC
rnacentral:rRNA from 1 species